rnacentral:rRNA from 1 species
UACGGGCAGGCAGCAGUGGGGGAUAUUGCACAAUGGANGAAACUCUGAUGCAGCGACGCCGCGAUGAGUGAAGAAGUAUCUCGGUAUGUAAAGCUCUAUCAGCAGGGAAGAAAGGCGUCGCAAGAGAGAUGACGGUACCUGACUAAGAAGCCCCGGCUAACUACGUGCCAGCAGCCGCGGUAAU